rnacentral:rRNA from 1 species
UACGUAGGGGGCGAGCGUUGUCCGAAGUUACUGGGCGUAAAGCGUACGUAGGCGGCCUGAUAAGUUGCAUCUGAAAGGCGACAGCUCAACUGUCGUAUGCGGUGCAAGACUGCCAGGCUUGAGGCAAGCAGAAGAGUGUGGAACUCCGAGUGUAGCGGUGGAAUGCGUAGAGAUUCGGAAGAACACCCAUGGCGAAGGCAGCACUCUGGGCUUGACCUGACGCUGAGGUACGAAAGCCAGGGGAGCGAACGGG